UACGUAGGGGCAAGCGUUGUCCGGAAUUAUUGGGCGAAAGAGCUCGUAGGCGGGCUAAGUAAGUCGGGUGUGAAAACUCCAGGCUCAACCUGGGAGACGCCACCUGAUACUGCUUUGGGCUAGAGUCCGGGUAGGGGAGCAUGGAAUUCCUGGUGUAGCGGUGAAAUGCGCAGAUAUCAGGAGGAACACCAUGGCAAGGCAGCU
rnacentral:rRNA from 1 species